AACGAACGCUGGCGGCGUGCUUAACACAUGCAAGUCGAACGAGAAAGUUUCUUCGGAAAUGAGUAAAGUGGCGCACGGGUGAGUAACGCGUAGAUAACCUGUCCAAGUGAUCGGGAUAGCCCUUCGAAAGGGGGAUUAAUACCGGAUACGUUGAUUGUUUUUAAGGACGAUCAAGAAAGGUGGCCUCUAUUUAUAAGCUAUCGCACAUGGAGGGGUCUGCGUACCAUUAGCUAGUUGGUGAGGUAAGGGCUCACCAAGGCUACGAUGGUUAGCGGGUCUGAGAGGAUGAUCCGUCACACUGGCACUGAAACACGGGCCAG
rnacentral:rRNA from 1 species